UACCUUUUGUUUCAUCGUUUGCCAUUGCAAACUAGAGAACCGGUAACUGAUGCAGAGUAUGGUGCAAAGUAUCUAUUACUCUUAAAUCAAUACGAAGGAUGAGCGUAUAGAUAAAUUCGCUCAACCAAGCUUUGGAAAUGCACAUUCCAACAGUCUCUCGUGCACGAAGUUGCAUAGUAACCCGGUCAUCAUCAAGAACCGACGAAACUGCCGCGACUGUCUCUACCGAAAGGAUCGAAACAUGAGUCGACAACUUCUGAGUUUUCCUUCGCAACUGCAAGUUCUCCCGUGAGCAGGAAAAUCUCCUUGAGGAAUGGCUUGGCCAUAGUAUGGCUCCGCCGAUAGCCAGUGGUAAGGAAAGAGAAAAACUUAAUCACAUUUCUCUUAUUAUUAACCAAGUCAAAAAUCGCUCAAUCCUCAAAUUAUACUCAAAACUGUCACAAGGGAAGAAUGUUCAAGGCUUAUAGCUUCCACUGUCUACAAGGGUCAAGAGAUUUGAGUUUAUUAUCUAAAGCAGUAAAUGUGCCCUAAAGCAGAUUGCCAUGGAGACAAUAUCGACUGAUACCUUUAAAUCCUUAUCACACAGACACUGCUCGGAUAAGUUUCACGAAGUUUAGCAUUUUUCACGGGAAGCAUAAACCUCCUAUUGUGAGGUCGCCGACCCCGUCAUCUUACGGGAUGUACCAAGCGUUUCCAUGUUUAAUCGUCAGGUCCUGACACCAGGAGAAGUUAUUCCCGAAUAUAAACGCCUGAGCAAGUGGCACAGGGAUCCAGGAUUGGGAGUGGGAGUGACUUGGGAGUUCAUUUUUUAGCAAUCUUUUAUCACGCACAGAGCAUAUGACAGAUCGAUUCUAAUUCUGAAGUUUAAAUAUUUAGGAACUCGACAAGCGAGCAGUAAAGUAGCUUAUUUGGUGAGUAGCUUGCACAGUUAAUAUAUGCUAACUGUACGUGUUGAGCUCUCUUGGCCUCUCCUGGUUUCUGACUGGUCCUUAUGGAUGCUGCAGGACUAAUCUACUAAAAACAGGACGAGACUCGAAGGGAACGAAUUUCUCUGACGCCCCAUAACAGGUGGUAUCUAGGGACAUCAACGUGUGUCUGCAAAAGCUCUAACAGGUUUCAGAAACGUCUUGGCAAAAUACUCUCCCAAUCGAGAACUUCUAAAUUUCAUCACAGACAAAAUGAUCCUACUAGUCCGAUAAUCAGAUGUAAACGUAACAGGCAGGACCAAGCCUACUGAAAUAUCAAGAUGGUUGCCCUCCGGUAAUUAUAUUGACGACAGAGGAAAAUUCAAAAUGAUGAUAAUUUUUAUUUAUAUCUUCAUAAAUAAACAAAAACUACUUAGGUAUUUAUCAUUUUAUUUUUUACUUAUCAUUCGACCGAUGUUACAGAGAUCGUUUAAGAUUUCUCCGCUGAACAAUUGGUUAUCUUAUGCUGAUUAAAAAAACAUUAUAGCGAUUUAUACUUUUCAAUGUUUCAGUUUUUCGGGUCUAUAUUCUUAUAUAUUAAAAAUAUUUUAUUUACAGAAAAUAUUUUUUGAAGAAUCUUAGCAAUAUUAACUGUUUUAUACAUGGAUAGUCUGCUUAAUACUAGCGGUAGUGAAGCCACCGAAAUGGUGGUGUAACGUGGUAUAAUAAUGCAUAUUGGGAUACUACUCACUUUUUUUAUUAAUUGUUUAGAUCUGGUCAUCAUAUUUACUAAGAUAUAUGGAAUAGGUCUGGCCAUCAAAACAAAGUCCAUCGUCAAUUUUACGACAUUGCUACAUUGGUUUACUCUACCAGCUGGAUGGCUUCUUUCGUUGCUAGUACUGAGCAGCCUACCCAUCUCGGUUUUAUCGAAUGAUAGUUUAAACGAACUAAUUAAUAGGUUUUUUUUUUUAUAAAAAUAAUUUGAUAAACAUGCUUUCAUAGAACAAAAUCUAUAAGAUCAAUCAGUAAUAUCAAACAAGGAAUUUUUAUUAUAAAAUAAUAUUCAGGUAUAUAAACUAUAAAUUAUGCCG
rnacentral:lncRNA from 1 species